rnacentral:lncRNA from 1 species
UUGUUUUGUGGUUUUAAUAAUGAAUGCCUGCCUACCAGUUCAAAAUGGGUUAUUGGUUAUUAGAUUCAUAGUUUAAUUACCACAUUCAAAUUUCCGUUUGAGGAUAUGAUCCUUAUCUGUUUGUGUUUGAUUAUUAAUAUGAAGUUAUGAACUUGUAUUGUCAAUCCAAGGGUUAUCUAUAUCUUGUGUUUUUGUUGUUGAACUUGAAGCAUACAAGAGAAGAGAAGUGAGAAAACUGUUGGAUUUGGAUUGAAAUUGAGCUUUACCAAAAAGAAGUAGAAAAUGAGAAUCCUUUUUCUAUUCUGCAGCACCAAAAUACACCCUUCAACUUACAAAGGACAACGUCUCCACCUCUUUGUGACACAGUUUUGAAAACUCCGAAACCUAGCAUUGAAUGUUUGAGUACAAGUACAACCUAGCUAGCAUUUCUUCGUUUUCUACAAGAUGAACAUCUGUUGUACGUAAUUUCAUUUUUAUGUUAAGGCUAAUGUAUAUUAGUGUGUUGCAAGAUACAACAGGAUGUCAAUUUCUCUGCCUGGAUGAUCAUCAGUUUGAAAUAAGAAAUUGACAACAUCACUUCCAUUAGAGACACAAAUGUUUCCACUAAUCUUUCUUGAAAUUCUGAUCAUUUUGGUAUAUGAAAAUGAAGCCCUUAGCUAGUUACCAAAUAAGCCAAAUCGAACAGGAACACCAUUGAGAUUCUUGAGCCAAGCAUUCCCUUUCAAGAAAGGACCUACAGUAAAAGCCAUAGCCUCAUCCUUAUUAAGGACCUUGUAGCCAGGCCAUUUCACUCUGUUAUCAGUAUUGGACCUGGGUCCGUUGUUGUUAUACUCACCAUAAAAUAGAGUCUUUUUUCCAAAGUCUCCAUCCAUUUCAGUCCAUCCAUCUUGGUCAAUCACAUCCUCUAUUGUAGACUCCAUCACUAUGGUUCUUGAGUACUCCUUCCACGGCCUCCCAAGGUAACUCUUGAAUUGGGAUUUCUCAGACUCAAAUUCUUUGUCCGGUUUCCGGAUAUAAAUUAUGCAGUUCUGGAAGGUAGCAGCAGCAUCACCGAAGAUAAAAUCAACGGUGCCGGAAACAACACAGCUUUUAUAGAAUUGCCGAUGAGCCUGUACAAAUAAUGUGUUUUGGUACCCUUCAAAUCGGCAGUUGAGGAAAAUAGCACGGUCUCCUAGGACUCUGGCUGCCACUGCCUGUUGCUUUUCACGACCAGCUGUGUUUCUGAAUCCCAUGGACUUUGCAAUGAAACCUUCUCCUAAGGCCACUGCAAUACAAUGUUGAAAAGGAAUGAGCAAGAUAAUAAUAGAAACAGCUUAACAUGGUGAUGAGGUAGGCCUUACACCCCAUGUUCUAUUGGCAUUAAGUUGAGCAUGCAUUGUGAUGAUAUUUGUUGAGCCAUACCAAAAGUUGCAGUGUUGAACAGCUUAACUCCGUCUGCAUUGUUCUUAUUCCCAGUGAUGAUGCUCUUUUGUGAUCCAUCACCAUAUAUGGCAUGGCCGACAAUGCUUCACUAAUGGAUUUGUAGUUCCCACUGCCAUCUUUUGCCACGGUGACAUUGGGUGUGGGCUUUUCAUCGUUUUUCUUCAACACCCGUCGCUCCUCAUGGGUCAGCCAGGAAGGAAAGCCAUCCUUGUCCUGUGCCAGAAGACGACGUGAUGAACCUGAUGAUCCUCCACUGCCAGGUACCUUUAAUUCGGAAAGUAGUGAAAUCAUGGCAAGGGAAUUGCUAGUGAGCUCCUUGGUGGCCUCCAAGGUCUCCGACAUUUUAGACUUCACAUCUCCAUCAGGAAACCCAUCAAUGCAUGUUUGCUGGUAUGAUAUGACCGCACUCAACCAACUGUUCAAGACACCGGUUCUCAUUUUCCCGGAAGUGGUACUGUUGCCAACUUGAUCCACGGAUUCUUCUAAUUCUUCCUUGGCAUUGUCAAAUAGUGCCUUGCAAUCCUCAAAGGCUUCCUUGUCUUCCUCUUUGUCAAAAGUGAGCUCGCUGGCUUUGGUAAAGGCACUCUUGGCCUCAUCCGAGGCUCCAGAGAUGGCGGUCUUGAUGACUUCUUUGGGUUUAGAUAUGGGGUCCUUUGUAUUUUUGAAGACUUCCUUGCACCUGUCCUUGUAAUCAGUUGACCCGCACAUCUGCUGUACAAUCUUGCUAGAAGUUGAUGUCUCAUUCUUGGUUGGAUCUUGGGUGGGUGGAUCUUCCGUGGGCUUUGGUGGUGCUGGAGCAGGUUUGCUAGCUUUUUUGGUUGCCUUGUCCGUCUUCAUUUUGUUCACAAUCACUAUGGCUGCAACGAUAAUUCCAACGAGGAGGAUGACUGCAACAACUGCGAUGAUAAUCCUCCUCUUGAGCUUACGGGCAUUCUCGGUCUUUCGGCGCUCAGUUAUCUGGUCAAAAUCCUGGAAUGCCAUUGCUGAGAGUGGCUAAGGCAGAGAAACCUCUGCCUUAACAAUUCAGGCCAGCCACACACAACACAGUGGGAAUAAAUACGAUGCGGAAAGAGAUGCAAAGAGGAAGAUGCUACAGCUUUAACCAAAAUUUCCUCUCCCUGUCUCUCUGUUCUUCUGUUUGAAAUUUGAGUCUCAUUAUUAUUUUGGCAAUUGACAUAGGAGGUCUGGUCAGGAGAGUUUUUAGGUGUUCUAUUUUUCACUAAAGUUAAUUGAAGAGGGCAGCUAGCGUCCUUUCCUUUCCAACCGCAACUCCCGCGAUUUCUUUCCUCCACAAUUCAUCUUCCCAAAAUUACUUUUCUACCGCACUCAAAACUAUAUAUGAACAUAGUUUACUUCUGUCAUUUUAAUUCUAGGCUCUGUUCUCCGUGAGGUUCUUAUUA